UACGUAGGGGGCAAGCGUUGUCCGGAUUUAUUGGGCGUAAAGAGCGUGUAGGCGGCUUUACAGGUCCGUUGUGAAAACUCGAGGCUCAACCUCGAGACGCCGGUGGAAACUGUAAGGCUAGAGUCCGGAAGAGGAGAGUGGAAUUCCUGGUGUAGCGGUGAAAUGCGCAGAUAUCAGGAGGAACACCCGUGGCGAAAGCGGCGCUCUGGGGCGGUACUGACGCUGAGACGCGAAAGCGUGGGGAGCAAACAGG
rnacentral:rRNA from 1 species